rnacentral:piRNA from 1 species
UACGAAACUGCUCUAACCCAGCCCCG